AAGGAAACCAGGUGCAUUGUCAUUUCCAUUAGUUGAACCACCUCGUGAUGAUUCUAACCUCCAAAAAUUUCCACGUGCAACAACUGAACUAUCAACAGUGUGGUGCCUUGUAUUGUACAUUGCCGAGACAUUUACAGUCCCCUACAUCAUCAUCAUUACAGGUGUUAUGAUGUGUACUUGAGCAUAUUGAAUGUGUUUCAGCACCGGCGACCCAGUACAAUUACACUCUAAACCCGUACAAAAACCC
rnacentral:lncRNA from 1 species